rnacentral:RNase_P_RNA from 2 species
UCAGUCGGCCGGGCAGCCGCGCCAGACCAAUGCCGAAAGGCGGCUGGUGAGGAAAGUCCGGGCUCCACGGAAACACGAUGCCGGAUAACGUCCGGCGAGGGUGACCUCAGGGAAAGUGCCACAGAAAGCAAACCGCCUGUGCGUUUGCGCGCAGGCAAGGGUGAAAGGGUGGGGUAAGAGCCCACCGCAUUGCCAGUAAUGGCAAUGGCAUGGUAAACCCCAUCGGGAGCAAGACCGAAUAGGGACAGCGCGUGAAGCUGAAAAGCUUGACAGGCCGGUUUCCAGGCCAGUUGUCCGGGUGGGUUGCAAGAGGCGGGUGGUAACAUCCGUCCCAGAUGAAUGGCUGCCGCGCAGGUUUUUCCUGCCAUACAGAACCCGGCUUACAGGCCGGCUGACACA